AGGGAUGGGAGGGAAGACUAUGUCACAGAGAAAGCCACAAGACUGCUAUUUACCAACCUGUGUCAGGACGUAAACAGUCUGCAGGUGAUGGUUUGGCUGGGAGAAGAUGGAAAGGCGUGCAGAGUGUGGCUGUGUCCGCAUGUGACCGCCUCCACUGGGUCCCGACGGGGGUGAUGCCGGUGGCCCCGCCCAUCCCGGCCCGGUUCCAGCCAAUCAGGAGCUGACGUGCGGUGAGAGGAGAGGGCUGCGCUGACAGAUGGCGCGGCUGACCUGAAAACCUGCCCCCUCUUCAGGGUUCAGCAGCCGGCAGAUGACAGGUAUUAUUUCAUAACCCAGAGACUGUCACUCACACACACACACACACACACUUUUGCCUUCAGCUCAAAUCAUUAACUAGUUGCUGAGUGAUUUCCUGUUGAGUUAUGUUCACUUUUAGCAGUUUUCUAGUAGCUCCGAAAAGUUUUUGGAUUACAUCUGAACCUGACUCAUUUAUUAUUCUUUAUUUAAUCCACUUACAGUAUUCUCUAAUUGACAGAUACAGUACUCUGUAUUCGAGUAAACUGUAAAACCCACCUAUGAAAAGCACCUAGACAAAAACCAUAAUUAUGUCCCUUGAUUUGAAUACACUUAACUGAAUUUGUUUAUCAUUUUUAACUACCUUCUUUACCUCAUUGUGCCAUUUAUUAUCUUUUAAAAGUAUUUCCUUGGGUUUCUGAGACUGCAGAUUCCCUGAACUCAAACACACACAUACUCUAGUACACACAAGUUACGGUGUACCAGCUCACAGUACGCAUAAUUUCACACUUAUUCAUACACACACACACACAUUUAUCCAAGGCUCCAACCAGCCAUGUAACUCUGAUGUCAGGGCAAAUCUGUCUGGCAGAAAGUGCUUUUUGAUGAAGUCGUUCAUACAUUUUAAUACAACAUGUCAGCUAACAUGAUGUAUAGACUGGCUGCUCAUUCAUAUUUCAAACAGUCUGCCGUUGAAAAAACAGCAGGGUGUACCUUGCUCUACCUUAAAGUGCUGCCUGGUUACGGCUGUCAGCGCAGAGAAACGCCGCGAGCUGUUACACCUCUGGAUCUGAGGCGCAGGGAUUUCACUACAAAUCCACCGUGUCAGGAUGCAGUGUGCGGGAGCAUCGAGAAACAGAACUAGCUUCAAUCAAAUCUGCAAUAAAUUUGGGAAAUAACGUCAUGCAAAAUGUCUUUUACGGUAUGAAUCAUUCAUUUUUACUUAAUCAUUUAAUAAUAUUAAAAGCUACGUAGAAAGUCAUUUUACAUCUGUACAUCUACUCAAAUAAAAAGUACUUUACCUGAGUAUUUGUACUUUACCUGAAUACAUGUAGCGUGUGGCAGAGAAACACAGGGAUUUUAGCCUUUGCAGACCAUUUACAUGCACACAAAUCUAUAUAACACACAGGAAAGUGAAAACCUUAAAAAGCAGUGUAGGGCCCCUUUAAUCAGAAAGAUUGUGGUUGUUGUUCCUAAGUGAUUGGCAGUCAUGUUUAGUAAACAUUACCUAAACUGGAAGAUAUACUGUAUUUCUUGGGGACUAUUUUCAGCGGCAGAUUAAUCACAUUUUCUGCUUUAGUGAGUAUUUCUUGCAGCAGGACGGUGUUAUCGAGUCAAAAUGACCUACAGUGUGUGUGUUCAUGCUACUGAAGGAACAGUCACGCAGCGUCCACACGGCAGCGUGCGUUGAAGCUUGCCGGCGGGCGUGUCUGAAA